AUAUGAUUCACGUCCGUAUUCAACGAAAAAAUGUUUUAAAGCUAAAAGCCACUUUUUAAAUCUUUAUCCCCAUAAAAAUCAUGUCUUUAAUUCACGGUAAUCUUUGGAUGUCAUACUAACAGAGAUCAACCCUUGAACGACUCUCUCUUUUUUCAUGCUUUUGGCAUCAAAUUUGGGGCCGUCACUCAAAAGUAGUCCGUGGAUUUUGUUUAAUCCAUCCACUCGUUGUGCGCAGAAAAUUUUCUAUUUUCUCUUAUCAUCCAUUUAAGUGUUGAGUCUCUGGCUGAAAAGCCUAAUAUUUCGUAGUUCUGAUGUGAGCUGAGUGAAUUUAUUAAUUCGUUUUUUAGAUGUUUUGUGGCUAAACUAUGCAGUUUGAUCGGAGAGUAAAGGUACACACCUUUCUUUUUUAACUAUAAAUUAUAUUUUUGCAAAAUCUAAUUGGUGUUUGGUUGCUUGAUUCUUGUAUUGAAGUAAUAAUAUGUGGGAUAGAAUUUAAUAUUUUGAGUUCUAUAGGUUUGUAUUUCCUGCAUCACUAGAAUCCGUUUGUGUGUGUGUG
rnacentral:lncRNA from 1 species